UUCCGUCCGUAUUUCUGCACCUUUUCUGGGAGCUUACAGAUACGAACAAAAUGUUGUACCACCGGAAAUAGUGAGGGCAGUGCUGAGCAGUAUAGCCAAAGGUUUAUGACAGAUAGCAACAAAACACAACAAAGAAGAGUACUUUGAAAAGUGGCGGGACAUUUUAAGAAAACAUUGUGCGAGUUGUUUGGAAACCAUUAAAGAAUAAAUUAUGUUACCUUGCCCGGGCAACAGGACAGACAAGCACAAUAAACAUCUGAGUAAGGAAAUGGACUUCAGCUGGACGGCUGCGAAGGAGAAGAGGAGGCACUCGCGAGACAGAUUGCCCCAACCACUGAGGAAUCUUUCAUAAAGUGCAACCUGGAACUGAGUCACAAUACAGAUGUUUGCUGUCAAAACUCUCACAUCGACUCCUGAGGGAUGACAGAAUCUGUGUACAAACAGACCCAAGCGCUGUGGAUAAAGGUAGUGAUGGCGAGAUGAAGCUUCUUGAAGCAUUGAGGCUUUCCAUCCAACUGGUUCACUCAUGGGCCGAAGCUUCAUGGUGCUCCAUUUGCUCUACUGCGCCAUCAAGUGGACAAUAAAUUUAAAAUAAGCGCAGUGAUU